rnacentral:lncRNA from 1 species
AUCCUACGCAUGCAGCUCAGGGAUCAAGCAGCAGCUUUGUGGAUCCUCACCUGGGCUCUUCCUGGAGAACCCUGUGUUGGGUGCACAGUAUCAGGAGAUGGUAGGAUUGCAUAGGCACUUGUGGAAUGAUGGAGUGGAAUCUCAGGUGUGACUAUGAGAGGCAUCAGUGAUAAGAUGCAGUGGUUUGAGACAUAGUAACUGAAGAUAUGGACACUAAAUCCCUCCAUAUUUCUAUACAGUGAAAAAUCAAUAAUGGUAAUUGGAAUCUCUGUCUCCCUCAGCCCUGAUUUAUCCUUCCUCUUUGUGGUUUAUACUUUCCAUGUAUGAACCAUAAAACUGUAAUGGAGAAACAUUUUUGCCUAUGAGGAGCAAAGAGAGCUGCUUUGCUGAAUGACUGUGAGUAAAUGAGGAUUCUUUGAAGAAGUGCAGGGCUUCUGUUCCUCCGUGUUGUGGGCAGCACACGCCUGCCCUAUUCGUCUUCGUCAUGGCUGCACCUGUGCUACAGAAUGCUCAUAGACUAGUGCUGCCCAUGCAGGGAGCCCAGAGGCUGCACUUUCUCAGUUUACCUCAUGGCUUCAGAGUGACAUGAGGCAUUGAAAUAAGUGAGCAUUGAAUCUGAGGGCUCAGGAGCCACCUUCUACCUUUGCUCCUUUGGUGACAUGCUAGAUGCCCUCUGGUAAGUCAGUUAAAUUCUUUGGGCCUCCUCUGAAAAUUGGAUCCAAUGAGGCCAACACUUCCUGUUUCACAGGGUUACAUGGGGCUCACAUGCAAUUCAAGAACAAACUUUGUAAUACGAGGCAAAAGAUACACAAACAAGCAUGUACAUUACUCAGACAAAGGCUUGGUCCUAUGAGACAAUGGGGCAUGUUCUCAUAAGAUUCCUGUGAACUUUGUAGGCUCUUGGGGCUACAGGAAAACAAUUUUAAUUGAAGAGAGAAAGAAGAAUGAGACCAGGAUGUGGCCAUGGGUGAUCUCAGCUACAGAGCAUCCUGCCCAAGAAGCCUUGGCACAGUCCACGUGAUGUCAUGCCCCAGAGUUAAAGAAACUAGUAACUCACUGCAAUUCUUGAGUUUAUAAGAUGACAGACAAAAAAGAAACAACGUGUGGAGAUGUUGAAACUCCCUCUGCUUAUGAGAUAAAAAGAACUGGCUGAAAUUGGUUGGAACCAAUGUGGCCAAAUAAAGUCUGCACAGAACAAGCUUGCUGAUGUCACAGCCUGAAUUUCAACACAAGUUUCAUACUAACUACCCCCAAAUUUGCACAUGAGACCCAUGAGGAGGUAUGAAGAGAUAACUGUGUGAGGCUGAGGACUUUCCAGACCUCCCUUUUCCUUCUACCAAUUACCUACUAACCCCAGAAUCCACCCCUAAACCUUUUCUAAUAAAAUUACUGCCUUAAAGCCAGCACAGGAAGACAGAUUUGAGCUGUACUUCUGUCUCCUUGUUGGUUGAUGUACAAUAAAAAGCUUUUAUAUUUUCUCAAAAAAAAC